rnacentral:rRNA from 1 species
CCUACGGGGGGCUGCAGUAGGGAAUCUUCCACAAUGGACGAAAGUCUGAUGGAGCAACGCCGCGUGUGUGAUGAAGGGUUUCGGCUCGUAAAACACUGUUGUAAGAGAAGAAUGACAUUGAGAGUAACUGUUCAGUGUGUGACGGUAUCUUACCAGAAAGGAACGGCUAAAUACGUGCCAGCAGCCGCGGUAUAAGGUAGUUUCAAGCGGUAUCCGGGUUUAUUGGGGAUAAAGCGAGGGCAGACUGUUGUUUAAGUCCGAAGUGAAAGCCCACAGCUUAACUGUGGCAGUUCUUUGGAAACUGGAUAACUUGAGUGCAGUAGAGGAGAGUGGAACUCCAUGUGUAGCGGUGAAAUGCGUAGAUAUAUGGAAGAACACCAGUGGCGAAGGCGGCCCUCUGGACUGUAACUGACGUUGAGGCUCGAAAGUGUGGGUAGCAAACAGGAUUAGAUACCCGGGUAGUC